rnacentral:rRNA from 1 species
GGAGGAGCUUUCGGGCUUCGACCGGCGUACGGGUGCGUAACGCGUAUACAAUCUGCCUUUCACAUAGGGAUAGCCCGAAGAAAUUUGGAUUAAUACCUAAUGGUAUAUAGAUGUGGCAUCACCUUUAUAUUAAAGCUGAGGCGGUGAAAGAUGAGUAUGCGUUCUAUUAGCUAGUUGGAGAGGUAACGGCUCCCCAAGGCUACGAUAGAUAGGGGUUCUGAGAGGGAUAUCCCCCACACUGGUACUGAGAUACGGACCAGACUCCUACGGGAGGCAGCAGUGAGGAAUAUUGGACAAUGGUCGGAAGACUGAUCCAGCCAUGCCGCGUGCAGGAAGACGGCCUUAUGGGUUGUAAACUGCUUUUGCAGGGGAAGAAUAAGGACUACGAGUAGUUUGAUGACGGUACUCUGCGAAUAAGCAUCGGCUAACUCCGUGCCAGCAGCCGCGGUAAUACGGAGGAUGCGAGCGUUAUCCGGAAUCAUUGGGUUUAAAGGGUCCGUAGGCGGGCUAAUAAGUCAGAGGUGAAAGCGCUCAGCUCAACUGAGCAACUGCCUUUGAAACUGUUAGUCUUGAAUGGUUGUGAAGUAGUUGGAAUGUGUAGUGUAGCGGUGAAAUGCUUAGAUAUUACACAGAACACCGAUAGCGAAGGCAUAUUACUAACAAUUAAUUGACGCUGAUGGUCGAAAGCGUGGGGAGCGAACAGGAUUAGAUANCCUGGUAGUCCACGCUGUAAACGAUGGAUACUAGCUGUUUGGUUGUAAGACUGAGUGGCUAAGCGA